rnacentral:lncRNA from 1 species
UAAUUGCUCUCACAUCACUGAUGCGUCUGGCAAACAGGAAGCACUGCUGGUUUGGCUAAAGGUGGGACUGAACACCUCCAUAUACAAUUUUCAAUUACUCGUGAUAGUUGGAAAGGUGCUAUAUUGUAGAAAACAAAAACACACACAACACUAAGGAUCUUGCAGUCUGUUGUUUUCACUUGUAACCUCGUGAAGCCUUCAAUCAGAGCUUGAGCUGGGCAGCUAACUCAAAUUGUUGGUGUAUCACAGCAUCCUCCUUGGCCAGCAGUCUACCUGGAAUGUAUCUGAGACCUGCCUCUCCUGGCAAGACAGGAAGUGACAUGAAGGUGGGCGGGAAGUGGGAUCCAUGAUGGGAUCCCUGACUGGAAAGGGUGCUAUGGGGCUGAGGUAAAGUUCCUGCAUCCUUAUCAUUACCAGAAUCAACUGUAGCUACCACCACCUGUUCACAGGUAUUUCUGACCUGAACGACUCUGCUCUUUAGAGGGAAGACAGAAGGCAGCCAAAAUGAAGGGAAUCUACUCUCUCUGUUCUCCUUCAGGUCCUAUCCCUCAUCGUUCCAGGCUGCAUGUCUCAGAGAAUAAAAGGUGCCUAUGUGGGUCCUGUUUUUACAUCAAGUCACCCUAGGACAUAGAAGAUCUGAUGCGCAUACAACAAAGAAUUUGUUUUGUUGUUGUCUGGUGGAACUAAUUAAAUACAUGGAUGGACAAACAAGUCAAAUCUGUGUGCUCUUGUAAUUCAUCUAAGAAAUCCCAAGAGACUGAGAAUACUGAUGUCUUAAUUGCUAUCAAUCACCCUGGCUCUCCCAGAUCUAGGUAAAUAAUAAGCAUAAUGCAAACACUUUUUGGCAUAUUGUUCUUAGACUGACAACCCAAAAUUUUGUGUGUGUGUUGUAUUCCUAUGUCUAAAAAUACCCAACAAACUUAGCACUAAGUGGAUCCAUUCUACAGGCGUAAAAGUAAGUAACUUUUAUCAUCAGUAACACUGAUGAUAACAUGGCAUUCAGGAUUCAACCUGCGGAAAUCAAGAUGCUGGCUGUAUUGUUCCCCAGAGAGACCCAUGUGGGCAGGUACAUGCACAGCUGUUUCACACGGGAGGUAGAAUGGGUGUUGAUUUAAAGAUACACAACAUCAAGUAGGUUUCUUUCCUGAAUUCACUUUUGGGGGAUUGAGUGUACAAAAGGUGUUCUCUAAGUUAAGAAGCUCCAAGCUUUACUGAUCACACUGAGGCCUUUAGGGUAGAAAGUGAGGCUGGACUUAUGGAGAUACAGUGGUAUUUCUGCUGGCCACCUUGCUUCAAACCAACUAAAUUAACCUCUCUGCCUCAGUUUCCUCAUCUGUAAAAUGGGAACAACAAUAGGAACCUUCCUCACAAGGUGGUUAUAGGAAUUUAAUAAAUUAAUACACGUACAGUACUUAGAAUACUACCUUGCUCAUAGUAAGCAUUCAGUGAGUGUAAGCUGCUAUCACCACCCCCACCAUCAUCACAAUCAUUAUCUUUAUCUCAUGUGUAUCCUCCCUGGUAUGAAAGUAAAUUGAAUUUUAAUAACUAUGACUCCAUUUGACUUGUACUCCAACAGAAUGAAGGAGUUCAGAUCACCUAAAGUGAUCAAGACUUCCCAUAAAUGAUUUUUGUAAUUAUUAACCACUUUUCUUGUAUACUUUUCUUAAUACUAUUCCUGAGAGAAGAUUAUGGGUUGAAUUCCAUCCUCAGAAAGAUAUGUUGGAAGUCUUGACUACUUUCAUCUCAGAAGAUAAUCUUAUUUAGAAAUAGGGUCAUUGCAGAUGUAAUUAGUUAACUGAAGUCAUGCUGGAACAGAAUGGACCCCUAAUCCAAUGUGACUGUGUCCUUAUAUAUGUGUCCUUAUAAUUUCUUAUGUCCUUAGAAAUUUGGACAUAAGAAUGCGGAGGGAUGCCUGUGUGGCUCAGUGGUUGAGCAUCUGCCUUCAGCCCAGGGUGUGAUCCUGGAGACCUGGGAUUGAGUCCCACGUUUGGCUCCCUGCAUGGAGCCUGCAUCUCCCUCUGCCUGUGUGUGUCUCUCUCUCUCUCUCUCUGUCUCUCAUGAAUAACUAAAUAAAAUCUUAAAAAAAAAAAAACCUCACAGGUGGAAGAUAAUAUGAAGACACACUAGACAAGAUGGCCAUGUGAUGAUGGACACAGAUUGAAAUGAUGCAUCUCCAAGUCAGGGGAUGCCAAGGAUUGCUGGCAGGUACAGAAGCCUGGGAGGAUUCUUUUCUACAAGUUUCAAGGUAGCAUGAAUUUUCUGAUAUCUUGAUUUUGGACCUCAAGCCUCCAGAACUGUGGAACAAUAUAUUUCUGUUGUGUUAAGCUACACAGUUUGUUGUACUUUGUUAUGGUAGCCCUAGGAAAUAAAUACAGAAGGGAAUGGGAAAAAAUGCCACUGAGGGGAUAACAUAUCAUUUGGACUUAACCAAACAG